UAUAUAUUUUAUUACAACAAAAAAUGUAUUGAUCGUCUAACUCAUCAAUAUUCUCGUUAAUAUUAAUAAUAUUUUGUGAUGUACUGUGGAAAGUAACACCAGCUUUUACUUGAUGUUCUUCAUCAUCAUUUAAUGUUAAAAGUUUGAUCAGAUCGACUUUAAUAGCAAGAUACCAUCUUAUACACCCAAAAAACCUUGCAGAUUCAUUGAGUAAAAUAUUAAAAAUUCUAUCUUUUAAUUGAUUUAAAAUUAGACUUACAUCUACUUCAUUAUUUCUAAAGCUUAUUCUAUAUCUAAUAAUAUUGCUAUUGAUAGCAGUGACCCGCUUAACUUUAAAGUCAAUCAUUUCAACACUCACCCUUUGAGAUUGUUGUGUUAAUGAAGACGUGAUAACACGCGCGCGCUAGAUGUUUGCUGAUACUGAAUCGCUGUUUCUCGGAGCCGAGUUGAUUCUCUCUUGGAGUCGAGUAGUUUCUCUCUUGGAGUCGAGUAGAUUCUCUCUCGCUAAGUCGAAACUCUCUUCGAUUCUCUCCGACUCGUGCUAACUGCAAUGAUGAAGACGGGAGGGGAAGUCUUGUUAUCGGCUUACUGAAUCAGGCGACUGUUUUGUUCGUGUAUAAGAUAUGAUUGUUACUGUUUCUCAAUGUCUUACUGUAAAUAUAAAUUUGAAAAUAGUUGAAAUUACUGAAGCUAUAGUUGAAUAAGAAAUAGAGUAAGUAUUAAUGUAUGAUGUAAGACUUGUCAAUGAAUUCAAAGCUAUAUGAUGUUCUAAACAGUUGUUAUACUAUCAAGUCUAAUGAAUAAAUGAGAAAUCGGGCUGCAUACGAUUGAUUCUAUUUAUAUGUUAUUGUAAAUGGGAAGAGAAUAAAUUUUUCCCUUUUCCCACAUUUCUGGUUAGCUGAUGAACAAUGUUCUUCCUAGUUCUAUCCUUUUCUUUGUAUUAGAUGCAGAGCGAGGUGAACGCAUUCGCGUCAAUGAUUUCAACUUCACGUUGAAAAGAGACAAGCAAUAUCGACUUCUUUGUUAGAUGCACUGUACUUGAAUGCAGUCUAAUCAUGUAUAUCAUAAAGACAGGAAAUUCAGUACAUAGGCUUAACUGUACUUACAAGUAGCAUUAACAUAUACAACUUCUAAUUUAAGUACAAGGAUGUGUUAGCCUUGCUAUUUUCAUCAAGGUAAUGAAAUACACCCCUUCCAAUUCAGAAUUACGGAAGACGAUAUCCCACCAUUAGAUUUCAGAGUGUAGAAGGAGAAAAUUUUUAGUAUAAAAGCACUCAAAGUUUUGAUUUGAAUCAUAGUAUUCAUCUGAUGAAAAUGUCAUCUACUAGCACUACUGAUUCGACCAAGAACGUUGCUAUGGAUCAGCCAAUGGUAACAUACUCGAGUGUAGCAGCUACACCGAAGAUGACGUCUUCGCCAGCUCCUUCGACAAUACCGCAGAUACCGUGGGGAUUCCCGUAUAAUAUAUGGAGCAAUCCUCAUCUUUUCAAUCAAGCAUUUCCCGGAUUAGGAAUGAUGCAAACCAUUCCCGGUCCGGUUGCACCUUCACCACCAGGAUUUCAACCGAUUGCAUCUUCUCCUCCUAUCACCGAACCGUCUACUAUCUCAAAAGCGUCUACUUCCACGCCUGCUGACGAGACAACUUCUUCUCCUCUCAUCUCCGAGCCGUCCACGUCUACUAUCUCAAAAGCGUCUACUUCCACGCCUGCUGACGAGACAACUUCUUCUCCUCUCAUCUCCGAACCGUCCACGUCUAUCAUCUCGAAAGCGACUACUUCUUCAGCUACCAUCACAAAACCGACUACACAUGGUCCUAUUGUUGACGAGGAGACCGCUGUCACGAGGGUGAGUAAAUCUUCAUCCUCAUCAAGUUCGGAUGAGCUUGAUGAGGAUGAAGCAACUUUUUCUGUUAAAAAAUUUAAUUGUGCACAAACAUAUGUAGCAAAACGUUGUAUAUCUGCACAAACAUUAAGUACCGUAUUUGAAUACCCUAUUAUAAAAGCUAGAUUUGUGAAGACUCAGUGGGGGGAUAGCUAUAUUCUUCAUUUAUUGAAUCAAAAAAAUAAAGAAAUUAGUAUUUUCCUCCCAAGGAGAUAUUCGUGCUGGCUAAAUAAAAAAAACUUAGAUUCAUUUAACAGAUCAAAAUUAAAACUAAAAGCAAAACAUCGACUAGUAAACAGAGUGAUAAAAGGGAAGGAGUUAUCGGUAACGGUUACUGACCUCACACUAAUAGACUGUACCACCUAAACUCUUGAAAGGAUAUGAUAACAAAAUUUAAACUAAAAGCUUAGAUUCAUUUAACAGAUCAAAAUUAAAACUAAAAGCAAAACAUCGACUAGUAAACAGAGUGAUAAAAGGGAAG
rnacentral:misc_RNA from 1 species